AAUAGGUGGACUGGGGGCGAUUGUGAGUGUACCCAUAUGUCUGUCGCUUGACAGAUAACCACUGGCUUGGACAGGGAAGAUACAACCUCCAGUGCUCCUGACCAGCAGCCUUUUGCAGUAACAAGUGACUCAGAAGGGGGUGUGCGUAAUGAGUGCCAGGUGUGCGUAAUGAUGAAUCCCAGGACCAGUGGUUAGUACUUUGGCGAAGUCUUACGCAGGAGGGGAGGAGCAGGAGCAGAUGUGACAUCACCAGGCAGACCAAAACUCCAUCCCAACAAAACAUGCUGAAAUUGAAGGCCUUUAACAGGGGUGUGCUGCUAAAGUCAAUCAACACACGUCUUUCACCUCGAGAGAGAUCUGCUCUGGGCCACUGGGACAGCACAGAAAGAAAACCGGUUAUGAUUUCUAACUUUGGCUCGGUCACUAUUGACUUUGUUGUUUUCUUUCUUUGUUAUGCUAAUCUUUUCAAUUUGCACUGCUUAUUUAUCUUCUGUCAUCCACACUUCAAUUACUGAAAUAACUCACACACAGAUUAUUUACACUGGUGGCUACCACAGCCACUAUUGCUAUAAAUGCACCUCAAAGAUCAGAGGAUAAAUUUUUUUAAUGUUAAAAAAAUGUACCCCUUUUUCUCCCCAAUUGGUAGUUACAGUCUUGUCUCAUCGCUGCAACUCCCGUACGGACUCGGGAGAGGCGAAGGCCAAGAGCGGUGCGUCCUCCGAAACCCAACCAAGCCUCACUGCUUCUUGACACAAUGCCCAUUUAACAUAGAUGCCAGCCACACCAAUGUGUCAGAGGAAACACCGUACCCCUGGCGACUGUCAGCGUGCAUGCGCCCGGAGCCUGGACUCAAACCCAGAAUCUCUAGUUGCACAGCUAGCACUGCGAUGCAGUGCCUUAGACCACUGCACCACUCGGGAGGCCCUGAUCAGAGGAUUUCUGAGAAGACACUUAUAUAGUGCUUUGUUUUGCACAUGAAGUGGUCCAUAUAAAGAUGUGGAUGGAUGGAG
rnacentral:lncRNA from 1 species